UUAAGCGACUAAGCGUACACGGUGGAUGCCCUGGCAGUCAGAGGCGAUGAAGGACGUGCUAAUCUGCGAAAAGCGUCGGUAAGGUGAUAUGAACCGUUAUAACCGGCGAUGUCCGAAUGGGGAAACCCAGUGUGAUUCGUCACACUAUCGUUAACUGAAUACAUAGGUUAACGAGGCGAACCGGGGGAACUGAAACAUCUAAGUACCCCGAGGAAAAGAAAUCAACCGAGAUUCCCCCAGUAGCGGCGAGCGAACGGGGAGCAGCCCAGAGUCUGAAUCAGCUUGUGUGUUAGUGGAACGGUCUGGAAAGUCCGACGGUACAGGGUGAUAGUCCCGUACACCAAAAUGCACAGGUUGUGAACUCGAAGAGUAGGGCGGGACACGUGGUAUCCUGUCUGAAUAUGGGGGGACCAUCCUCCAAGGCUAAAUACUCCUGACUGACCGAUAGUGAACCAGUACCGUGAGGGAAAGGCGAAAAGAACCCCGGCGAGGGGAGUGAAAAAGAACCUGAAACCGUGUACGUACAAGCAGUGGGAGCACCUUCGGGUGUGACUGCGUACCUUUUGUAUAAUGGGUCAGCGACUUAUAUUCUGUAGCAAGGUUAACCGUAUAGGGGAGCCGCAGGGAAACCGAGUCUUAACUGGGCGUUAAGUUGCAGGGUAUAGACCCGAAACCCGGUGAUCUAGCCAUGGGCAGGUUGAAGGUUGGGUAACACUAACUGGAGGACCGAACCGACUAAUGUUGAAAAAUUAGCGGAUGACUUGUGGCUGGGGGUGAAAGGCCAAUCAAACCGGGAGAUAGCUGGUUCUCCCCGAAAGCUAUUUAGGUAGCGCCUCGUGAACUCAUCUUCGGGGGUAGAGCACUGUUUCGGCUAGGGGGUCAUCCCGACUUACCAACCCGAUGCAAACUACGAAUACCGAAGAAUGUUAUCACGGGAGACACACGGCGGGUGCUAACGUCCGUCGUGAAGAGGGAAACAACCCAGACCGCCAGCUAAGGUCCCAAAGUCAUGGUUAAGUGGGAAACGAUGUGGGAAGGCACAGACAGCCAGGAUGUUGGCUUAGAAGCAGCCAUCAUUUAAAGAAAGCGUAAUAGCUCACUGGUCGAGUCGGCCUGCGCGGAAGAUGUAACGGGGCUAAACCAUGCACCGAAGCUGCGGCAGCGACACUAUGUGUUGUUGGGUAGGGGAGCGUUCUGUAAGCCUGCGAAGGUGUGCUGUGAGGCAUGCUGGAGGUAUCAGAAGUGCGAAUGCUGACAUAAGUAACGAUAAAGCGGGUGAAAAGCCCGCUCGCCGGAAGACCAAGGGUUCCUGUCCAACGUUAAUCGGGGCAGGGUGAGUCGACCCCUAAGGCGAGGCCGAAAGGCGUAGUCGAUGGGAAACAGGUUAAUAUUCCUGUACUUGGUGUUACUGCGAAGGGGGGACGGAGAAGGCUAUGUUAGCCGGGCGACGGUUGUCCCGGUUUAAGCAUGUAGGCUGAUUGUCCAGGCAAAUCCGGAUAAUCAAGGCUGAGGUGUGAUGACGAGGCACUACGGUGCUGAAGUAACAAAUGCCCUGCUUCCAGGAAAAGCCUCUAAGCAUCAGGUAACAUUAAAUCGUACCCCAAACCGACACAGGUGGUCAGGUAGAGAAUACCAAGGCGCUUGAGAGAACUCGGGUGAAGGAACUAGGCAAAAUGGUGCCGUAACUUCGGGAGAAGGCACGCUGGUGUGUAGGUGAAGUCCCUGCGGAUGGAGCUGAGACCAGUCGAAGAUACCAGCUGGCUGCAACUGUUUAUUAAAAACACAGCACUGUGCAAACACGAAAGUGGACGUAUACGGUGUGACGCCUGCCCGGUGCCGGAAGGUUAAUUGAUGGGGUUAUCCGUAAGGAGAAGCUCUUGAUCGAAGCCCCGGUAAACGGCGGCCGUAACUAUAACGGUCCUAAGGUAGCGAAAUUCCUUGUCGGGUAAGUUCCGACCUGCACGAAUGGCGUAAUGAUGGCCAGGCUGUCUCCACCCGAGACUCAGUGAAAUUGAACUCGCUGUGAAGAUGCAGUGUACCCGCGGCAAGACGGAAAGACCCCGUGAACCUUUACUAUAGCUUGACACUGAACAUUGAGCCUUGAUGUGUAGGAUAGGUGGGAGGCUUUGAAGCGUGGACGCCAGUCUGCGUGGAGCCAACCUUGAAAUACCACCCUUUAAUGUUUGAUGUUCUAACGUUGGCCCCUUACCGGGGUUGCGGACAGUGUCUGGUGGGUAGUUUGACUGGGGCGGUCUCCUCCCAAAGCGUAACGGAGGAGCACGAAGGUUAGCUAAUCCUGGUCGGACAUCAGGAGGUUAGUGCAAUGGCAUAAGCUAGCUUGACUGCGAGCGUGACGGCGCGAGCAGGUGCGAAAGCAGGUCAUAGUGAUCCGGUGGUUCUGAAUGGAAGGGCCAUCGCUCAACGGAUAAAAGGUACUCCGGGGAUAACAGGCUGAUACCGCCCAAGAGUUCAUAUCGACGGCGGUGUUUGGCACCUCGAUGUCGGCUCAUCACAUCCUGGGGCUGAAGUAGGUCCCAAGGGUAUGGCUGUUCGCCAUUUAAAGUGGUACGCGAGCUGGGUUUAGAACGUCGUGAGACAGUUCGGUCCCUAUCUGCCGUGGGCGCUGGAGAAUUGAGGGGGGCUGCUCCUAGUACGAGAGGACCGGAGUGGACGCAUCACUGGUGUUCGGGUUGUCAUGCCAAUGGCACUGCCCGGUAGCUAAAUGCGGAAGAGAUAAGUGCUGAAAGCAUCUAAGCACGAAACUUGCCCCGAGAUGAGUUCUCCCUGAGACUNCAUAAUGUCGCAAGACCAAAGUGGGGGACCUUCGGGCCUCAUGCCAUCAGAUGUGCCCAGAUGGGAUUAGCUAGUAGGUGGGGUAACGGCUCACCUA
rnacentral:rRNA from 1 species